UCCCUAGUAGCUCAGAUGGUAAAGCAUACGCCUGCAAUGCAGGAGACCCAGGUUCAAUGCCUGGCUUGGGAA
rnacentral:tRNA from 1 species